rnacentral:rRNA from 1 species
CAAAGCUCAAAUUUGAAAUCCUUCGGGAGUUGUAAUUUGUAGGUUGGGAGACCCCGCGGCUAGUGGCACCAAGUCCCUUGGAACAGGGCGCCUUAGAGGGUGAGAGCCCCGUAGGUACCACAACACCGUCUUGUGUCUCCUCUCCAAAGAGUCGAGUUGUUUGGGAAUGCAGCUCAAAGUGGGUGGUAAAUUCCAUCUAAAGCUAAAUACCGGCGAGAGACCGAUAGCGAACAAGUACAGUGAUGGAAAGAUGAAAAGCACUUUGAAAAGAGAGUGAAACAGUACGUGAAAUUGUUGAAAGGGAAGGGCUUGCAAGCAGACACGGCCUUCGUGCCGGGCCAGCAUCGGUUGCUAGGGGUGGAUAAGGAACAAGGAAUGUAGCUCCUCGGAGUAUUAUAGCCUUGCGCGAUACACCCACUGGCGACCGAGGCCUGCGGUAUUCUUUACCUAGGAUGCUGGCGUAAUGGUUGCAAGCCGCCCGUCUUGAAACACGGACCA